AGCAUUUAAAGCUGAAAAUGGUGAAAAUAAGGCAAAUGGACCUCAAAAAGCUAUAGUUGCAUCAACAGCUAACCAGUCCAAAGGGUUUCCUGAGGGUGAAAGCAAGGGUGAUAUGUUAAUGGCACUAGAAAGCCUUGGCAAGCAAGUUGCCAGGUCUAGUGUUGGUAGAUGAGCAAGCAAAAGCUUUAAUGGCACUAGAAAGCCUUGGAAAGCAAGUUUCCAGGUCUAGUGUGGUAGAUGAGCAAGCAAAAGCAGAAGAAGAGUUCAAGAAAUCACUGUACGUAUCUGCUGCUGAUGGUACCAGCAGUGAUGAAGAAGAAACGUCAAAAACGAAAAAACUACACAUACGAAUUAGAGACAAGCCUGUUACAUCUGCUACAGUGGACGUGAACAAGAUUAAAGAAGCCACAAAACAGUUGGGCCUGCCGAUUAGUAGAAC
rnacentral:lncRNA from 1 species